GACGGAGGGGGCUAGCGUUGUUCGGAAUCACUGGGCGUAAAGCGCGCGUAGGCGGCGGCUCGAGUUGGGCGUGAAAUCCCGGGGCUCAACCCCGGAAUUGCGCCCAAGACUGGGUUGCUUGAGACCGAGAGAGGGUGGUGGAAUUCCCAGUGUAGAGGUGAAAUUCGUAGAUAUUGGGAAGAACACCAGUGGCGAAGGCGGCCACCUGGCUCGGAUCUGACGCUGAGGCGCGAAAGCGUGGGGAGCAAACAGG
rnacentral:misc_RNA from 1 species